UCCCCGGUGGCGCAAUUGGCUAGCGCGUCAGACUGGUUUGUUGCUCCUAUCGCCCGUUCCAGUAACGUACUGACUUCACUCCAGUUAUACAACCCAUGACCAUCUGGAGGCUGAAAGUUCGAGCCUUUCCCGGGGAG